CACUCCCUGGUUCCUUGUAUGGGCAACCUGAAACAGGAUUAAUAGAUGUUCAGACUCAGAAUAUGUUUUCUGGACUAGUUGAUAUUCCCAGCUCCUUAGAGCCAUUAAAAGAGUGUUCACUGACUGAUGUGGUGAUGUUGGUCAAACCUGGCUCUAUAGAUGACACUUCAGCCUGAGCAGGUUGUCGAAUCUAAUGGGAAAUUUGCCAGUCCUGUCUUGAACUCAGAUGCUCAAUUUAUCUUUCUUGAACAUAACUGACUAGACAAUAUCAUACCAUUAUAGUGACUUUUCCCUUCUUUAAUCUAAGUACCUAAUCUGACAAAAUUUAAGUUUUAAUUGGCUAUUUUCUUGUUUGCAGACACUCUUAGUUACUAAUCUAUGAGCUUAAUCUACUCUAUAUUCUUAUGUUCCUUUGAGGGGCUUACUACACUGUUGCCUUGGAGUUUUUGACUUUUUAAUUUUUAUGGGUUUUAGAAG